AAAUGAAUUGACGGGGACCCGCACAAGCAGUGGAGUAUGUGGUUUAAUUCGAAGCAACGCGAAGAACCUUACCAGGGCUUGACAUCUACCGAAUCCUCUAGAGAUAGAGGAGUGCCUUCGGGAACGGUAAGACAGGUGGUGCAUGGUUGUCGUCAGCUCGUGUCGUGAGAUGUUGGGUUAAGUCCCGCAACGAGCGCAACCCUUAUCGUUAGUUGCUACCAUUAAGUUGAGCACUCUAGCGAGACUGCCGGUGACAAAUCGGAGGAAGGUGGGGACGACGUCAAAUCAUCAUGCCCCUUAUGUCCUGGGCUACACACGUACUACAAUGGCCGUUAACAACGGGCAGCGAAAUGGUGACAUGGAGCAAAUCCCCAAACACGGUCUCAGUUCGGAUUGCAGGCUGAAACCCGCCUGCAUGAAGUCGGAAUUGCUAGUAAUCGCGAAUCAGCAUGUCGCGGUGAAUACGUUCCCGGGUCUUGUACACACCGCCCGU
rnacentral:rRNA from 1 species